rnacentral:rRNA from 1 species
AUGCAAGUCGAGCGGCAGCACGGGGAGCUUGCUCCCUGGUGGCGAGCGGCGGACGGGUGAGUAAUGCAUAGGAAUCUGCCCGGUAGUGGGGGAUAACCUGGGGAAACCCAGGCUAAUACCGCAUACGUCCUACGGGAGAAAGCAGGGGACCUUCGGGCCUUGCGCUAUCGGAUGAGCCUAUGUCGGAUUAGCUGGUUGGUGAGGUAAUGGCUCACCAAGGCGACGAUCCGUAGCUGGUCUGAGAGGAUGAUCAGCCACAUCGGGACUGAGACACGGCCCGAACUCCUACGGGAGGCAGCAGUGGGGAAUAUUGGACAAUGGGCGCAAGCCUGAUCCAGCCAUGCCGCGUGUGUGAAGAAGGCCCUCGGGUUGUAAAGCACUUUCAGUGGGGAAGAAAGCCUUCCGGUUAAUACCCGGGAGGAGGGACAUCACCCACAGAAGAAGCACCGGCUAACUCCGUGCCAGCAGCCGCGGUAAUACGGAGGGUGCGAGCGUUAAUCGGAAUUACUGGGCGUAAAGCGCGCGUAGGCGGCUUGAUAAGCCGGUUGUGAAAGCCCCGGGCUCAACCUGGGAACGGCAUCCGGAACUGUCAGGCUAGAGUGCAGGAGAGGAAGGUAGAAUUCCCGGUGUAGCGGUGAAAUGCGUAGAGAUCGGGAGGAAUACCAGUGGCGAAGGCGGCCUUCUGGACUGACACUGACGCUGAGGUGCGAAAGCGUGGGUAGCAAACAGGAUUAGAUACCCUGGUAGUCCACGCCGUAAACGAUGUCGACUAGCCGUUGGGUCCUUCGCGGACUUUGUGGCGCAGUUAACGCGAUAAGUCGACCGCCUGGGGAGUACGGCCGCAAGGUUAAAACUCAAAUGAAUUGACGGGGGCCCGCACAAGCGGUGGAGCAUGUGGUUUAAUUCGAUGCAACGCGAAGAACCUUACCUACCCUUGACAUCCUGCGAACCCUUCGGAGACGAAGGGGUGCCUUCGGGAACGCAAAGACAGGUGCUGCAUGGCUGUCGUCAGCUCGUGUUGUG